GGGGCUCGGCACGGCGCCUCCGCCCGCAGGAAAUGGCGGCGGCACGAGGAUCUGCCGCCGUGAUGUGCAUUUCGCCUGGAAAUCCCUGCGGCCAUUGCCGUGCCGGGGCUGGUGAAGAGGCGCUUCUGCCCGCAGCCCUUUCCCCAGGGCGGCAGGCCCCUGGGUCCUUUGUUCCCGGCUCCAGGACUGGAUGAGGAGGGACGCUGGAUGUGCUGAAGGAUUAUGGUAGUUCUGUUGCUGCCUUAGCUGUCCUGUACCAUGCCUGGUGAUGAUGACUGAGUCAUAUUCUGCUGAGCAGACUGCUCCAUACUCAGCCAUCAGGCCUGCAUUCUCCAACAGAUUCAUCAAGCUGGCAGCGUAAUGACGGAGCUGUUUGGUACCCAGAGAGUCCCACUCCAAGGGUGUCUGAGCACCUUGCAUUUGGCUCAGAAAAUCUGUCCUUGCAGCAGUCCUGUGAGAGGGUUGUGAAGUCCCAGGGACUCCCAGCGCAGUUCACCAGUUGAAAAAUAUUUUGGAUUGGGUUCUUGUAUCAUCUGAGGCGAAACAGCUAAUCGUGGUGCCAGGAUACAGAUACCUACUUGAAGAGUGUCGCUGUCGAUUUUUGGCAGAUAAAGGUAAAACAUGUCCAGUGGGUGGAAGUUGGACCCUGAAUCCAGGCGUACAUUUUUAAGCAAAGAAUGGUGCUCUCUCACCACUUCAUUCCCUGCAGAGGAGCGGUACACUUGCAGCUGCUGUUCUCCGGUAUGGCAUUGCCAAUGUCAGCAGGGCUCACAUGGCCACCUCCUGCCCUCUGCUUUGGCAGUGGUUGCUGGCUGAGUCACCUCUUUCUGGUGGACACAAGUUGUGCUCACUGCAAAACAGCAACUGAAAGUCUCUGGCCUGCCUUACAGGAGGUCUAACGAAGUGGCCAUAACAACCCUUUCUGCCCUGGAAAUCUCUGAAUUCCUGGUAGGCUAAGAAAUGACCCUGUACUUACAUAGCUCAGUGUCGCUAAACCCGUCUUCUUUUGAGGCUUGCAAAACAAAUAGAUGCCCAAGAGAAGAUGGUACUAAUCUCUGCCGUAAUGACAUAUUCAGCUCCUGGUUUUAUGGUUUCUGCAAAGCCUGUUUUGGGGAGACUUUAAGUUAUUUGGGGAAGAACAGACAAGCUUUUGGCACACGGUUCUACGUCAAAUCUCUUCAGUUUUGCCAGGCUGUGUUUAUUUGGAGACCCUGUAUAUUGUAGAGGCUGCUGCCUUUUCCUGACUGUCCCCUAGAAUGGAAACUUGAACCAAUGAUUUUUGUAAUGAAUGUGCAAUAAAUCUGUGGAAA